rnacentral:rRNA from 1 species
CUACGGAAGGCAGCAGUAAGGAAUAUUGGGCAAUGGACGCAAGUCUGACCCAGCCAUGCCGCGUGAAGGAUGAAUGUCCUAUGGAUUGUAAACUUCUUUUAUGCAGGAAAAAUAUCCCGGUCGUGAACCGGGACUGAUGGUACUGUAUGAAUAAGCAUCGGCUAACUCCGUGCCAGCAGCCGCGGUAAUACGGAGGAUGCAAGCGUUAUCCGGAUUCAUUGGGUUUAAAGGGUGCGCAGGCGGAAUAAUAAGUCAGUGGUGAAAUCUCCCAGCUUAACUGGGAAACUGCCAUUGAUACUGUUGUUCUUGAGUACAGUUGAAGUGGGCGGAAUGUGUCAUGUAGCGGUGAAAUGCUUAGAUAUGACACAGAACACCGAUAGCGAAGGCAGCUCACUAAGCUGUAACUGACGCUCAUGCACGAAAGCGUGGGGAUCAAACAGGAUUAGAUACCCCGGUAGG